GAUGAACGCUAGCUACAGGCUUAACACAUGCAAGUCGAGGGGUAGCAGGGUAGCAAUACCGCUGACGACCGGCGCACGGGUGAGUAACACGUAUCCAACCUUCCCAUAACUCGGGGAUAGCCUUUCGAAAGAAAGAUUAAUACCCGAUAGUACUUUAUUAAGGCAUCUUAAGAAAGUUAAAGAUUUAUUGGUUAUGGAUGGGGAUGCGUUCCAUUAGAUAGUUGGUGAGGUAACGGCUCACCAAGUCUUCGAUGGAUAGGGGUUCUGAGAGGAAGGUCCCCCACAUUGGUACUGAGACACGGACCAAACUCCUACGGGAGGCAGCAGUGAGGAAUAUUGGUCAAUGGGCGAGAGCCUGAACCAGCCAAGUAGCGUGAAGGAUGAAGGUCCUAUGGAUUGUAAACUUCUUUUAUAGUAGAAUAAAGUGAACCACGUGUGGUUUUUUGUAUGUAUACUAUGAAUAAGGAUCGGCUAACUCCGUGCCAGCAGCCGCAGUAAGAC
rnacentral:rRNA from 1 species